UGGAGAGUUUGAUCCUGGCUCAGGACGAACGCUGGCGGCGUGCCUAAUACAUGCAAGUAGAACGCUGACUACUUUAGCUUGCUAGAGUAGAAGGAGUUGCGAACGGGUGAGUAACGCGUAGGUAACCUGCCUACUAGCGGGGGAUAACUAUUGGAAACGAUAGCUAAUACCGCAUAACAGUGUUUAACACAUGUUAGAUGCUUGAAAGAUGCAAAUGCAUCACUAGUAGAUGGACCUGCGUUGUAUUAGCUAGUUGGUGGGGUAACGGCCUACCAAGGCGACGAUACAUAGCCGACCUGAGAGGGUGAUCGGCCACACUGGGACUGAGACACGGCCCAGACUCCUACGGGAGGCAGCAGUAGGGAAUCUUCGGCAAUGGGGGCAACCCUGACCGAGCAACGCCGCGUGAGUGAAGAAGGUUUUCGGAUCGUAAAGCUCUGUUGUAAGAGAAGAACGUGUGUGAGAGUGGAAAGUUCACACAGUGACGGUAACUUACCAGAAAGGACGGCUAACUACGUGCCAGCAGCCGCGGUA
rnacentral:rRNA from 1 species